rnacentral:lncRNA from 12 species
UUUCAGCAGCUCUAUAACAUCUUAGAACAUCCCUUAAUUCACUCAGGUAUUCACUCAGCAUCUAUGUACUUUUUCCUAGAUCAAAGCUGAACUCAGACUUUUCUGAUUUGUUCUCUCUACUGUUGCAAGAAAGAAGUGGGAAAAGAGAAAGGAGAAUGACAACUCUGACGUCUUGAUGAUGGAGGAUUCAAUAUUUAGCAAAUUCGCAUGUCAUCAAAAUGCAUUAGCUCUUGAGCACCUGGCUUCUUAAGCAAACACUUUAAUAAGCAGAUGGUUCUGACUGAGUGACCAUUUUAAAUACUGACGCCAUGUAGGCUUUGACAAUUUGCUUGAGACAGGCUGGUAUUGCUCAUCAAUUCUAUGGUAUCUUCAAGAACAGAUUGUCUGGUUUAGCAACUAGUGGAAAAGCUCAACGUCAGGUUGUUCUGUGGCCUUGUUUGGAUAAAAUGAAUUCCGCCAUAGUUGAAAUGUUUUCUGAAAUUAUCACAUGGAGUGGUUCUGUUGUCUGAGCCCUGUACUCUGAGUUGCCAAAUCUGACAACAAAGGAUAAUGAUGCUGUCACGUGAAUAAAAGGAAAAGCCACCACUGAAAUGGAAAUAUA